ACUCCUACGGGAGGCAGCAGUGGGAAUCUUAGACAAUGGGGAAAGCCAUCGAUCUAGCCAUGCCGCGUGAGCGAUGAAGGCCUUAGGGUUGUAAAGCUUCUUUCAGCUAGGGAAGAUUAAUGACGGUGACCAGCAGAAGAAGCCCCGGCUAACUCCGUGCCAGCAGCCGCGGUAAUACGGAGGGGCUAGCGUUGUUCGGAAUUACUGGGCGUAAAGCGCACGUAGGCGGAUUGUAAGUUGGGGGUGAAAUCCCGGGGCUC
rnacentral:rRNA from 1 species